rnacentral:lncRNA from 1 species
GAUUGGUGAGGAACCCCUCUGUGCCCAAACAUGUUUCUUGACUUGCUUAAGGGCAAAAUCUGUCUUCAUCUCACAUGUAUGCAUGUUUAAUUCUUUGCCCAGUUGCUUAUGCUUUGAUUGCUUUAGUCCCUGUUGGUGUCUUUCUUUCUUUUUCUUUCUUUCUUUUGUUUUUUUUGGGUAAGUCACAUCUACACGCUUGAGGACAAUGUGUGCUUAAAGUGUGUGAGUGUGACGAGCUCAUUUUUUGUGCUCUUUUUGUGUCUAUUUUUAAGUUUAGAUCGAGUCUUUUUGCAUGAUUGUGUGUGUGUGUUUGUGCCUAGGAGGGCAUGUUUUGGGCAGAGGAAAUGUGCAUGAGGCAUAAGGAGGGAACAUGCUCCAUUCCGUGAAAG